AUUGAACGCUGGCGGAAUGCUUUACACAUGCAAGUCGAACGGCAGCACGGACUUCGGUCUGGUGGCGAGUGGCGAACGGGUGAGUAAUGUAUCGGAACGUGCCCAGUCGUGGGGGAUAACGUAGUGAAAAUUACGCUAAUACCGCAUACGAUCUAUGGAUGAAAGCGGGGGAUCGCAAGACCUCGCGCGAUUGGAGCGGCCGAUAUCAGAUUAGGUAGUUGGUGGGGUAAAGGCCCACCAAGCCAACGAUCUGUAGCUGGUCUGAGAGUACGACCAGCCACACUGGAACUGAGACACGGUCCAGACUCCUACGGGAGGCAGCAGUGGGGAAUUUUGGACAAUGGGCGAAAGCCUGAUCCAGCCAUUCCGCGUGCAGGAUGAAGGCCCUCGGGUUGUAAACUGCUUUUGUACAGAACGAAAAGGUUUCUACGAAUACUAGGAGCUCAUGACGGUACUGUAAGAAUAAGCACCGGCUAACUACGUGCCAGCAGCCGCCGUAA
rnacentral:rRNA from 1 species